rnacentral:rRNA from 1 species
CCUACGGGAGGCUGCAGUGGGGAAUAUUGGACAAUGGGGGGAACCCUGAUCCAGCCAUGCCGCGUGUGUGAAGAAGGCCCUCGGGUUGUAAAGCACUUUCAGUGAGGAAGAACGCCUGGUGGUUAAUACCCAUCAGGAAAGACAUCACUCACAGAAGAAGCACCGGCUAACUCCGUGCCAGCAGCCGCGGUAAUACGGGGGGUGCGAGCGUUAAUCGGAAUUACUGGGCGUAAAGCGCGCGUAGGUGGCUUGAUAAGCCGGUUGUGAAAGCCCCGGGCUCAACCUGGGAACGGCAUCCGGAACUGUCAAGCUAGAGUGCAGGAGAGGAAGGUAGAAUUCCCGGUGUAGCGGUGAAAUGCGUAGAGAUCGGGAGGAAUACCAGUGGCGAAGGCGGCCUUCUGGACUGACACUGACACUGAGGUGCGAAAGCGUGGGUAGCAAACAGGAUUAGAUACCCGUGUAGUC